UAGUUAUCAGAGGAAACAAGGGAGGAAGAUGAAACCAAAGGGUUUCAUGUCGACCGCGGUUGCCGCAGGGGUUAAAAAUGAAACCUUUGGACUAAACUGGCAAAAUGGCCCAAACCACAGGGACUAAAAUGGCAUUUAACUCUUUGUAAAAAGAAACAUAUCAAGGUUCAAGCAUUUUUAUAAAGUAAAUACAAAUGUAUAUUUAUGUUAACAACACUUCUAUAACCUUCAUUUGCGCGUGUGAGGUGACCUCGGUGUUCCAUCAUUCAACCUUCAACUCUUCACGGAACUACCAAAAGAAGCUUUGCAAAACAGAUUGUGACCGAUGAUUCCAGUAGGAAUUGCUAGAAACGCAUUUAAACUUUAUUGCUCGUUGCGUUGUAAUUUCCUUUCAAUCCUGUUGUAUUCUGUUUCCAAUACUUGUAAUAAUUAAUUAUCAAUGAAAUGAAAUUUAAUUAUUUGAAUACU
rnacentral:lncRNA from 1 species